UAAAAGACACCCAUCUUGGACAGCACCAAUUGGAGUGAUAGAGAUUAGCAUGAUCCUUGUGCAAGGAUGGCACUCAAAUUCUCAACACAUUCUAUGCUUUU
rnacentral:snRNA from 1 species